GCGGGCUUAGUUCAAGGGUAGAAUAGCGGUCUCCAAAACCGUUGAUGAGAGUUCGAAUCUUUCAGCCCGUG
rnacentral:tRNA from 1 species